CCAUUCAUCUUCUGCUUGUCUGUUUAGUAUGAUGAUUAAGGCAGGGUAGGAAAUUCCUUUUGAUAGGUUUUGUUUUAAACGGGGCAAUAGUAUCUAGAAUUUCC